rnacentral:rRNA from 1 species
CCUACGGGGGGCAGCAGUGAGGAAUAUUGGUCAAUGGGCUUACGCCUGAACCAGCCAAGUCGCGUGAGGGAAGACUGCCCUAUGGGUUGUAAACCUCUUUUGUCAGGGAGCAACGCCGGCUACGUGUAGCCGGACUGAGAGUACCUGAAGAAAAAGCAUCGGCUAACUCCGUGCCAGCAGCCGCGGUAAUACGGAGGAUGCGAGCGUUAUCCGGAUUUAUUGGGUUUAAAGGGUGCGUAGGCGGACUGGAAAGUCAGCGGUAAAAUCGAGAGGCUCAACCUCUUUCCGCCGUUGAAACUGUCGGUCUUGAGUGGGCGAGAAGUAUGCGGAAUGCGUGGUGUAGCGGUGAAAUGCAUAGAUAUCACGCAGAACUCCGAUUGCGAAGGCAGCAUACCGGCGCCCGACUGACGCUGAGGCACGAAAGCGUGGGUAUCGAACAGGAUUAGAUACCCGAGUAGUC